GAUGAACGCUGGCGGCGUGCUUAACACAUGCAAGUCGAACGGAAAGGCCCAAGCUUGCUUGGAUACUCGAGUGGCGAACGGGUGAGUAACACGUGGGCGAUCUGCCCUUCACUUCGGGCUAAGCCUGGGCAACUGGGUCUCAUACCGGAUAGGACCACAUUUCGUAUGGGGUGGUGGAAAGUUUUUCGGUGUGGGGUGAGCUCGCGGCCUGUCAGCUUGUUGUUGGGGUAAUGGCCUACCAAGGCGUCGACGGGUAGCCGGCCCUAGAGGGUGUACGGCCACAUUGGGCAUGCGAUUAGGCGCAGACGCCGAGGGGAGGAAGCAGUGGGGAACAUUGCACUAAGGGCGCCAGGCUGAGGGCGGGACGCCGGGUGGAGGGUGACGGCCUUCGGGUUAUGAGCUCCUAACGCUAGGGACGAGGCGGUUUGUGAAGGUACCGGGUGAAGAAGCACCGGCUAACUACGUG
rnacentral:rRNA from 1 species